UCGCUUUCGUGAAUAUUGUGGCGCAGUUGAUCGUCUCCAUGUUAAGGUGAAGGUAGAAAGUGUGUGUGAGCUGAAUUGAGCAGCAUGGAUCAGUGUGAGGACAGAGAGGAGGGAGUCCCUCCCUCUAAAAGCACUCUGUGUGGGAACAUGAGAGCCAGACCAAAGCUCAGAGGAACCAGCCUGGACCUCCACCCAGCUCUGUGUCCUGUAAGAGUGACACGUCUAAAGGUCUUGGUAUUGAUUUUAAAGUCUCUGCUGCAGAGAGAGGUCAGAGGUCACAGUCUGCAGGAUCCAGCUGUCCGUCUGUGAGGAGUGACCGGUCCAAACAUCACCCUCCAGACUUCAGUGCUGAACCUGGACCAACGAGAGGGAGGAAGAGGAAGAGGAGUGGUGUUUGUGAGGAGGAGCAGCCGUCCUGCUGUGCUUUGUGUCAGGGACGUCCUGAAGGAUCCAGUCUCUACCAGCUGUG